rnacentral:rRNA from 1 species
UGCCCCUUAUGCUUAGGGCUACACACGUGCUACAAUGGGUAGUACAGAGGGUUGCCAAGCCGUAAGGUGGAGCUAAUCCCUUAAAGCUACUCUCAGUUCGGAUUGUAGGCUGAAACUCGCCUACAUGAAGCUGGAGUUACUAGUAAUCGCAGAUCAGAAUGCUGCGGUGAAUGCGUUCCCGGGUCUUGUACACACCGCCCGUCACACCCCGGGAGUUGGAGACGCCCGAAGCCGAUUAUCUAACCUUUUGGAAGAAGUCGUCGAAGGUGGAAUCAAUAACUGGGGUGAAGUCGUAACAAGGUAGCCGGAUCGGAAGGUGCGGCUGGAUCACCUCCUUUCUAAGGAGA